GAGCGGGGACCACCCCGUAAGGCUAAAUACUUCUUAGUGACCGAUAGCGCAUAGUACUGUGAAGGAAAGGUGAAAAGUACCCCGGGAGGGGAGUGAAAGAGAACCUGAAACCCUGUGUCUACAAGCUGUGGGACCUCUUUAUAUGAGGGACUGCGUACUUUUUGUAGAACGGUCCGGCGAGUUGUGCGUACUGGCGAGGUUAAGGACUUAAGGUCUGGAGCCGAAGUGAAAGCAAGCGUUAAUAGCGCGUCAAGUCAGUGAGUGCAGACCCGAAACCGGGUGACCUAUCCAUGUCCAGGUUGAAGCUUCCGUAAGAGGAAGUGGAGGACCGAACCCACAUCCGUUGAAAAGGGUGGGGAUGAGGUGUGGAUAGCGGAGAAAUUCCAAUCGAACCCGGAGAUAGCUGGUUCUCCUCGAAAUAGCUUUAGGGCUAGCCUCAUGAGAGUCUUAUGGAGGUAGAGCACUGAAUUGCCUAGGGGGCGUCAAAGCUUACCAAAGCAUAUCAAACUCCGAAUGCCAUCAAGAUGAUUCAUGGGAGUCAGACCAUACGAGAUAAGUUGGAUGGUCAAAAGGGAAAGAGCCCAGACCUACAGCUAAGGUCCCAAAGUACGUGUUAAGUGGAAAAGGAUGUGGGGAUUCUAAGACAACUAGGACGUUGGCUUAGAAGCAGCCAUUCAUUGAAAGAGUGCGUAAUAGCUCACUAGUCGAGAGUCCCUGCGCCGAAAAUGUCCGGGGCUGAAACACGACACCGAAGCUUAGGAAUGUGUAAACAUUGGUAGAGGAGCAUUGCUGGCGGGAUGAAGCCAUACCGUAAGGAGUGGUGGACUGCUAGGAAGAGAGAAUGCCGGAAUGAGUAGCGAGAUGAAGGUGAGAAUCCUUCAGGCCGAAUAUCUAAGGUUUCCAGAGUAAAGCUGAUCUGCUCUGGGUAAGUCGGGACCUAAGGCGAGGUCGAAAGACGUAGUCGAUGGAUAACAGGUUGAAAUUCCUGUACCGCAUAUAAACAGAACUGUGGGGACACAGACAGGGAAUGGAAUCCGGGAAUGGAGAUCCCGGUGCAAGCGAGGUAGGAGUGCUGUUGGCAAAUCCGCAGCACGAUCUGAAGACGUGACGCGUACCGAACAUAAGUAGGGAAGUCCAGGCCCCUGGCUGUCAAGAAAAGCCGCUAUUGUUUUAUAUGUGCCCGUACCGCAAACCGACACAGGUGGAUGAGGAGAGAAUCCUAAGGCCGACGGGAGAAGUAUUGUUAAGGAACUCGGCAAAAUGACUCCGUAACUUCGGGAGAAGGAGUGCCAUGAGAGUGGCCGCAGAGAAAUGGCCCAAGCAACUGUUUAGCAAAAACACAGGUCUAUGCAAAACCGCAAGGUGAAGUAUAUGGGCUGACGCCUGCCCGGUGCUGGAAGGUUAAGGGGAGAGGUUAGCGCAAGCGAAGCUUUGAACUUAAGCCCCAGUAAACGGCGGCCGUAACUAUAACGGUCCUAAGGUAGCGAAAUUCCUUGUCGGGUAAGUUCCGACCCGCACGAAAGGCGUAAUGAUUUGGGCACUGUCUCAACGAUACACCCGGUGAAAUUGAAAUACCAGUGAAGAUGCUGGUUACCUGCGCCAGGACGGAAAGACCCCAUGGAGCUUUACUCCAGUUUGAUACUGGGAUUCGGCAUGGUAUGUACAGGAUAGGUGGGAGACUGAGAAGGUAUGACGUCAGUUGUACCGGAG
rnacentral:rRNA from 1 species